CCAGACUCCUACGGGAGGCAGCAGUGAGGAAUAUUGGUCAAUGGGCGAGAGCCUGAACCAGCCAAGUCGCGUGAGGGAAGACGGUCCUAUGGAUUGUAAACCUCUUUUGCCGGGGAGCAAAAAGCGGUACGUGUACCGCAUCGAGAGUACCCGGAGAAAAAGCAUCGGCUAACUCCGUGCCAGCAGCCGCGGUAAUACGGAGGAUGCGAGCGUUAUCCGGAUUUAUUGGGUUUAAAGGGAGCGUAGAUGGGUUGUUAAGUCAGUUGUGAAAGUUUGCGGCUCAACCGUAAAAUUGCAAUUGAUACUGGCAGUCUUGAGUACAGUUGAGGUAGGCGGAAUUCGUGGUGUAGCGGUGAAAUGCUUAGAUAUCACGAAGAACCCCGAUUGCGAAGGCAGCUUACUAAACUGUGACUGACAUUGAUGCUCGAAAGUGUGGGUAUCAAACAGGAUUAGAUACCCCAGUA
rnacentral:rRNA from 1 species